rnacentral:lncRNA from 1 species
AUGGUCUGCAUCCAACUCAGAGACGGUGGUUCUACUCUACAGUUCUACAGCCUGGCAUUUAUUGCUCCAAGUAUCAUAAACAAGGAAUCUGCGGCAACCAGCAAUGUCUACCAGGUGCCUAAAUUCAGAAAAGAUGAAGACCAUCCAGUAUUGGCGGUAAUGGAUAUCCAGCCAGACUACAGUACCGUCUGUACAGGUCGAAGUAAUGCGUUCAUCAUCACAGACCAUCCUGGUCAUGGACCUUGCUGCAAGGGCAGGCAGGGGGAAAACAAUGAAAAUAACCAACCAACCAAAAACAAAACAACCACACAUUUACUACACUGAUGCAAGAAGCGAGAGACAAAGUCUUUAAGAACUGAGAUGAGGCUGACUCCCUGCUAAAUUGAACAUCUCUACAUGAGAACUUAGCAAGCAAGAUGUGAAAAGUAUUAAUCCCCGUAUUUGUUAUAGCUGUAAGAAAUUUCUCUAUUAAAUAUGUUUUUUGUUUGUUUGUUUGUUUUGUUUUUGCUAGUGUGUGUUUUCAUUGGGAUCUUGAGGAUGGGAUGCAGAUAUAGCAGAAACUGUCUUUUUCUUUACAGCCAUAUUUCUUCCUGAGUGGAGCUACUUCCUUUUUCAGCUCUGGAGUCAUCCACCUUACUGUUUUGGUGCUCCUACUACGCUGUGAUAACAAAUCGUAGUGGCUUUUGCUCUCAUGCAUGUUUUAACAAUCAGUCACUUAUCCAGGAUAGCUUCUUAAUCUUUUCAAGUACUUCAACAUUUUUAGCAAAGUCUGGUGAAGGGGCUGAAACAGCCAAGAACUGGGUUUCUCUUUUUGAAUCAAAAUGUGGUAUGAAGCAGUGCUAUAGUGACUAUGUUUCCUACCUGGUGAGGAUACCUGCCUCUGUUCACCUUCAGUGUGACAAGGAAAAUGUCAGUCAGAAACUUUUGGUGAAUUCAUUAGGUAAACGUAUUAAUUGAAUGCUUUACUGCUGCAUACCCUUAUUAUUGAACUCUUGGGCAGUGGUCUAUACAUACACAUCCUUUUCCAGUCCUCCACCCUCUACUUUCUUCCUAGUGUUUGGAAGAUUCCUAUACUCCUCACCCCCCCCCACCCCCCCCCCCCUUUGAUUUGAGGAUGUAACUUGCAAUAGAUGCACAAUUUCUUACUUCAGAUUCUUUUGCUCUUUUGUCCAAAAGCAAAGACAAGCUCAGGAAGACAGUUACUCUGCAGAAAGGUUUGCAGAAAAGCUGUAGAUGGGAAACCUUCAGAACAUCUUAUUGUUGCGCUCUAAAAAUAAGAAGCACAACUAAAGUGUCUCUUUAUGUUCUACUAAACCUGAAAGGCUAUUCUUGAUCUACUCAAGUACAUAGACAAGUUUUCUAACGCUGAGUAUCUGAAUCACUUGCUUGGGGCUCCCAGAUAGGACACAGGACUUACAGAGAAACCAAGUCUUUUUGGAGAGGAAAAAUGAGGUCAGGUAUAAUGUCCUAGGCACCUAAAAUAGUGAUGAAUUCUUAGGAAAUUUAAUUCCACUUCCAAACAUGCUGUAAAAUGUAGGCACAAAUUUUAGGGGGAAAGGGUAGGAUAUAUCAAGUAUAACCAACUCUUUCCAAGUUAUAGCAACCCCUCCUUUUUUUUCUUCUCUCUUUUUUUUUUUUUUUGGUUUUGAAGUUAUGAGAAACCAUUACUUGAUAUAUAUAUAUAUAUACAUAUUAAAGGAACAAACUGGAAAUGCUUGCCAUGAUAUUGUGAGAAACAAAGUUGCAUUUUUGCAAUAGAAAAUGUUUUUGCAGUGGAAAAUUUCACUAACCUUGCAUAUUCAAAUGUGAUUUUGCAGGCAUAACAGUGGGGAGUAAGUUAAGCAGAUAAGGGGAAGGUCCUGCUGUCCCACAAUAAGGAGGAUAGCUAAGAAAAAAAAAAGAUGAGCAGUGUGAAAUCAGUAAAAAUAAAAAAUCAUGGACCCUCUAGUCA